GAAAUGCGAAACGUAAUGUGAUCCGCAUACACCUGUGAGUCAUCAAGUCUUUGAACGCACAUGGCACUCGUUGCUUCGGCGACGAGUAUACCUGUUUGAGAAUCGGUUCCGUACUACCGCCAGUUGCGCGGUGAUCUGACGGCGUCUUUGGCAGUGUGGUGGUGGUGGUAGUAAUACUGCUGCUGUACGCCGCCAAAGUCCGUCCAAAUGGAGCGUGUGGGGCGGGCGCGAGUGUGCUCCGGCGCCGUGUGGUACAGGACAGUUUGUCUUUGCGAGCACGGAUGCAACGUCGGGGCGCGCGCGCGUCUGCGCAACAACCCGCAUGAACGCCAACUCGCUUCGGCGAGGCGGCCAAACGGCUGUGGGCCGUGACAAUCAUUGAUCUCAAAUCAGGCAAGGC
rnacentral:misc_RNA from 1 species